rnacentral:rRNA from 1 species
GACGAACGCUGGCGGCGUGCCUAAUACAUGCAAGUUGAGCGCUGAAGGUUGGUACUUGUACCGACUGGAUGAGCAGCGAACGGGUGAGUAACGCGUGGGGAAUCUGCCUUUGAGCGGGGGACAACAUUUGGAAACGAAUGCUAAUACCGCAUAAAAACUUUAAACACAAGUUUUAAGUUUGAAAGAUGCAAUUGCAUCACUCAAAGAUGAUCCCGCGUUGUAUUAGCUAGUUGGUGAGGUAAAGGCUCACCAAGGCGAUGAUACAUAGCCGACCUGAGAGGGUGAUCGGCCACAUUGGGACUGAGACACGGCCCAAACGCCUACGGGAGGCAGCAGUAGGGAAUCUUCGGCAAUGGACGAAAGUCUGACCGAGCAACGCCGCGUGAGUGCAGAAGGUUUUCGGAUCGUAAAACUCUGUUGGUAGAGAAGAACGUUGGUGAGAGUGGAAAGCUCAUCAAGUGACGGUAACUACCCAGAAAGGGACGGCUAACUACGUG